rnacentral:tRNA from 1 species
GGCAAGAUGGCCGAGCGGUCUAAGGCGUGUGACUCAAGUGAAGGCUUGCCUUCUUACGAAGGUUUCUCAUCAGGGAAAUCCUGGCAGGGGUUCGAAUCCCCUUCUUGUCA